rnacentral:lncRNA from 1 species
GAGACUUGUGCUUGCCAGUGGGGUCAGGGAGGAAGUGGAUGCCACUGGGACUCUGGGCUUUAGGGAUGCAAACAAUUGCAUCUGGACUGGCUAUGCGAUGAGAGCCCACUGGAUCGCACAGGGAUACAAUAUCCAGCCACUCACGAAGGAACGUGAUAGAGGAUAGUGGGAGAAAAUGUAAGCAUGUAUAUGGGUGUGCUGUGUGCGUGUGUGCACGCGUGUGCGACAGGAUCACUUUCCUGCACAGCAGAAAUUAACAGAAAAAUUAAAAACCGAGUGUAAGGAAAAAAUUAAAAUCAUUAAAGAAAACUUAGAACUUUCCUGAGGGGUAAUUCUAGGAAAAGUAUGCUAAUGAAGGGAUCUUAAACCAAAACGUUGAUCUUAAAAACCAAAAUAGAACACAUGACAAUACUGAAAUCCAACCACUAUCCAUCACAUGACAGUUUUUUCUGCAGGCUUCAUUUGUGCAUGGGCCUUGAGCAAAAAGGAUGUCUGCCCUCCCAAGAGCCUUACAACAAGAGGGACUUACUUCAUGGAGAGAAACACAGAGGGAGCACGGAGUCCUUCUCACCCAGAUGGGCAGCGAGUUUGUACAAUGGUGCCGCACACCAGGCUAAGGAUGAGGGUGAACUGUGAGCUCUUACUUGCAAGGUCGCCUGGGUGUGUGCUACCUAGGGUGGGUGGUCAAGUGUGAGAAUGACAGUGACACUGUCCAAUACAAGCAUACGCCUCGCCGAUUCCCAUCUGCUUUGGCCAUGUUGAAGCAAUGACCGCAGCACUGACAGGGACCUUUUAAAAUGCACAGCAUCGACAGGCCCUCUGGAGACCCUGGAAUUCCCGGGCAUAGACACGGAGCAGGGACCCUCCCCGCUCCGUGCUCCCCACGAACGACCAAGUCCUGGCUGAGGGAGAGGUGCAGGUCAGGGGUCCAGAGCGUCCCCAUAGGGAACCCAGCCUGGGUCCCACUUUGGCUUUCCCAUGUAGGAGGUCAAGAGCUUGGGCCAACUCUCUCUGCACCAUCUCCACCUGAGCAACGGGAAAAUUAAGCCAACGUGGGGACAGCAGUGGUGAGGGGCGAAUGCAUGCCUAUAGGGGUGGUACGCAGAGGUGAUGGGUUUCUUAAGGAACGUUGAGCGGUAUUUUCUGUAAAAUAGGAGAGAGCUCAUGAG